ensembl:ncRNA lncRNA:CR43611 long non-coding RNA:CR43611
CAGCGACUGCGACUUUGGGUAGACAACGAAAUUGUCCCUUAUCGGAAAUCAAAUUCGGAUCACGAUUACUCUCGAAAUAUUUUGGAUCUGGAACAAUCUGCCUUUCACUUUAUCACUUGCUUCACAUAACUGAGGGAACGGAGGGAUAAGCAAGUAGUUGGUUGAUUAUGAGGCAAUUCCAUUGUACGUUCUACACGUUGGCGAUAAGUUUUAUGGCACCCAAAUUUAACGCAGAGGUUCCUUUUGAUGCUGACCUAGGCCAUCGAAGUUGCGUUAUUGGUCUGUUACUGCGUAUAUGGAGGGCUUUAUAAGUGGAGCUGGAAAAACCGAAACGUACAUAUAGGCGAUUUCGGCCUACAAAUAAAAUGUUGGCUUAUCAAAAUGGCUCUAAAUGAAUU